ACAAAAGCUCAGGAUUUCAAAACAAAGAAAAGCAAAAAGGCAACAAUAAACAACUAGAAACAAAGAAUGGGCUGGUAUAUUUUAUUUUUUCUAUUAAGUGGAGGUAGCAACUCUUUAACAUAUUAGAAAUUGAACCGUAGCAGAAGAUUAACAUCAUAAAUAACAAUAAUAAAAACCACUAGAAAGACUUGACACCAAAAGGAUGCUUUAUAUAAUAAAUGAGGGCUUCGGAAUAACGACCAGCUCAAGAAGAAAAGUGAAAAGUGUAAGAAAGAAAGGGGGAAGUAGAUAUCACACUUCCCUAUGCCAUGAAAGAGGCAUUGACAUAACAGCAAGCAAAUGUUUAAAACAGCAACCCAAUUAGUAGACAAUGUCAAUUAGGAAAAGUUUUUCUAAAUACAUCUUUGAUAUAGUUGAAGCAUAUUCCCAGAGCAAAGCCCGUCAGAGCAUAAUUACUUGCCGAAUCAAGUAAGAAAGAUAUGCUCUUUCAUCCAAAGAAUAAACAGAAGAACGAAUCCCCUUUUACAUGGUAAAGUAGGAUGGAGAUAAAGACAUGCAUGAAACAAGCAACAGAUCUUUGGUCUUCUAGACAAUAAAAACAAAAAAAAUAUUUGUGUUUUAUCUUCUGUUUUACAGAACAUGUUUGGCAGUCACAUCUUCAUAACAUGGACAGGCACAACCUAGAGCUUCUAUCUUUAAUCUCCUUGUGCAUACAUGAAUUAUGUUUCAACAAUCGUUAUGUGCACAUUAGGCAUUUGUAAAUCAAGAAGCCAAGCAAAUCCAGUUAUAAAAAUUUAAGUGACUAAUAAAGAUCUAUGAUGGACAUUUUACAAUGCAGACACCUGCAAUUUUGAGUUUAGAAUGGCAAAUAAAUUAGAGAACAUCGUAUCAAUAAUGUCAUAAAACCAUACCAGUUCUAAAAAUGUAACCACACUUAAGUUUAAACAUCACAGAGCAUAUACAACCAUGGGGUUUACUGAAUAUGAGUAGGUGAAAAUACUUGUUUGAAUUGGCACUUACUCCAUCAUGAUUACAAGCAUCAUGAUCAAAAUUAUGUAAAGAAAGCUAGAUAAUAUAAAAUCUUCAUCCUUCAAUAUACCAUGUGCUUCGUCCUCUAAAAACCACUCAUAAGCCUCCAGUCAUCACAUGUCAAAAAAGAAACUAAAUAAUGGCAAACCAAUCAGAGACUUGAAUACAAUAAGGAUCGCGUUUUCUGCGAAUGAAGUAUCACAUGCCACGAUCUCUCAGCAAAGACUAACUCUAUCGAGUCUAAAAAGAAACCGUAAUUAACAUUCAAGUACUCGAACAACACAAAGAACCACAAAUCAAACGCUACAACCGAGACAACAUCCCAAACCCAUCAAAUCAAAGCAAAGUUGGCUUUUUUCGGUUCAUCCAAAUCGAACCAACGCCAAACCAAAAUCCACGAACAAAGGAAACAAAAUAAGAACUAAAACAAGGGGCUUCGGUUCCCGCGGGUAAGACGGAGGAAAAGGGAGAAGAAACGGAAGGAAAUGACCUCGGAUCGCGAUAUCUCGAGCUAAAACUCGAAUGCCGAAACCCUAAUCGCCUCAGGACGAGGACGAGGCCGGAUUCCCAGGGGCUUGGGGCGAUGGUCAAAGAGAGCUCGGCACGAGGGCGAGCUCGAAGAAGGAGAGGAAGAGAGGAACGCAGCGAGAGAUCGGCGUCCAACGGGGGAUUUCAAAUGGAGGAUUAUAUAAGCGAUGGCAUCGGAGAGGAAGAUAUAUACAUAGAGAGAAAAGGGACGGCUGGAGGGACUCUUUAAUUUCAUUGUUCGCACACUAAAUCUGUGCGGUGGGAAGAUCCACCGUCCGUUUGAUCAAUCUAAUGGAUCCUGGCCGUCCGAGCUCAGUGAUGCGAUCAUGCGUGGCUCUUGGACGCAUGACUGCGACCCCGAGUCGGCCCGGGUCGACUCUGUAGCAGUGCUGCAAACUCGGACGAGUAGGUCGAUUCGAAUCGGGCGUCAGGUUAUUGUGGACAACAAAAGCUAUAAAUACAAACCACAAGUCAAACUGGGUUUAAACAUUUGCAACGAGUUCUCUAUAACGGCUUUGGUGGCCGCAUGGUUUCCAUAAGAAUCGUUGUCUUGGUGUAUGCAAAAUGCUUGGAAUGAAUAUACCUUUGUCAUCGGCCCGUCCAACUCCGAUGACCACUGCGCAUGCCCACCGUUGUGGUGGCGCAGGCGGUGAUGACGAUGUCAACGAUCCGUCCCGCCGCAAGCAGAGCACACAGUCGACACCGACCCCGUAUUCCCGGCGGAGGAGGAAGUCGAAAAAGAUGGCGUUGGUAUUCCACCUACGCAAGCGCCAAGGAACAACAGACAAGCGCCAAGGAAGUACGAAGGGGCGGCUCCAGGAGGAAAGCACAACAGACAAGGAGAAGCAGUGGGAAGACGAAUUGGACCGGGGAACAGGCGAACAAGGAGGAGGAGGAGGGAGAAGAAGGUGCCGCGGAGGCACCAACGGCGUCAGGAGGAGCGGUCGAGGGGACUCGGGAAGCAUAAUACUAGCAAUAGUAUCAUAUAAUCCUAAUAAUUGAUUUGAUGAAAAUGAAAUGAGUUAUAAUACUUGAUAAUCGAUUAAAUAUAAAAAAAUAUAUUUUAUUUUAAAAUUAUAAAAAUUAUAUAUAAAGAUUUAUACAAAUAUUUUAAAACUAUAUACUUUGUGGAUUGAUUUAACGAAAAAUAUCUUGAUUACACUCGAGCGAGGUAUAUUCAUUCACCGUCCGAAUGGAUCCGAAAUGAAUCGACUCAUGAAUUUGUGACUUGAAAUAGUCUGAUUAUAAUAAAAAAAAAUUAAAAUUAAAAAAAAAUAUAUAUAUCUCUUGAUAAAAUCAAAUAUAAGGGUGCUACAAAGAUAAAACUCAUUACUAAGAAUUUUUAUUUUUCUUUGGUAAAUUGCCCCAUUACUGUUACAGACCAAUAUCAUCGAUCAUCGUUAGGAAAGUGGGAGGUCUAUCAAUGGAUUUCCUAACAGACAUCGACCCGCAAAUAAUCUCGCUCUGGGAAUUGCCAAUACCUAAAUGCAGUGAACUUAAUUGUUGAUGACAGACUGGUUUUGCUUGUGCUAUCAUGUGGAUUGCGAUGACGGAUGGGAUAGCUUCAUACUGAAACUACUUGUUGAGUUGGAAGUAUGUGUUACAGAGAUGAACCAAAUGUUCCUCUCAGGUGACCACAUUGACCUAAAUUUCUUGUGAUAAUUAAAUCACGACAUUUUUGUAUGAAAUUAUUCAGGUUUCAUCGGAAACCUACCUUUUCUUAGAUUUUAUAUCAAGAUAUGGAACUGAGGUUAGAGUCAUCAAGUUGGAACUCAUGACAAAAUGUCGAACCCACAAAACAUCCAUGCAAGAGUAUGAUUCAGGUUUAGAGUUUAAAACACAGAUUUUACACACAAAAAAAAAGAGCUAUCUCAAACUAUGUAAUGAAACUACCAUAUACUGCCACAAGUAAUGUUACAAGAUGACAAGUGGAUUACUACGAUCAUCACAAGUAACUACUAGAAUAUUGUGCGCCAUUGUAUUUUGAGUCCUUUUUGUACUGUGUCUCAAAAGCCAUAUCAAAACACACAUUUUGGAAUUUCCAAAAGCCAUUAGCAACUCCUGUUCAUGCACAUAAUAAGCUCCCUAGAUAACUAAGCAAAAAGACUCCAAAAAUGUCCCUGAUGCUCCAAUAAUAAUCCACCAAAAUGCAGUAGCAUGCAAUCGCACGUAAUUCAAGUUAAAUACAUGUUACAAACCUGCCACAGAGAUUAGGAGUUUGGCAGAGGGAUUGGUGUAUCUUAAUCCAAGAUGCAAGCAAACUUUACAUUCGUACUCAUAGUCCCCACGAGAACACAAGACAGGGGCUCUUCACUGUGUGAGCAACUUGGAGUCACAAGCCACAAUCUUCACUCUCUUGACUUGGUCGUGGCAGUCCUCGCUUUUGAAAACUGCAUCUUGCAAGAUGAAUGUCCACACAUUGUCACAGAACCUAUAAGUGUGCAGAUGACCCUGUAGAACAGUCUUGAGAAAAUAAGGUUUCUUGAUUACCAGGUUUAAUCAGAAAAAAAAAAAAAGGAAAAACUUAAACAUGAGGGCAUGAUAAUGGUUUGACUUUAUUCUAUAACUUGCAUAAUAUUGGUCUAACAGUGGGAGCUUAAAUCUUGACCAGAGAAUAGAGAGGCCAACUAUGGGCAUACUUGGCAUCUAUCAUGGGAUUUGGAUAAGUAGAAAGCACAGAAUAGGCAUGAGAUAACACAUAGCCGACUAUAAUGUCAAUAAACUACAGAAUAUUACUUAACGGUCAAAAUAACCACCUAUGAUCGGAUAGCUCUAAAUGAAAUAAAUCUUCACAUGAUAAAAGGGACUGAUGGACCUGAAAGAUUGAUAAGGGAAAAAAGGAAACUUCAGGUUUAAGAGGUAAGCAGUAGUACAUAUACAGCAAAAUCUGCAGGAUGGGAACUCCCAUUUCAAUAGCUCCAUAUGCAUAAUUUAGUAAAGCCAGAUAAGAUCAGAACUAAAAUAUGUCUUUUACCACUUAACUAGGAUGAUUUAGUCCAGAAUUGGAGUAUUGCAUAUUGCAUGAGUGCAGGUGCACAGUGAACUACAGUAUAUGCAGACAUGAUGAAAAUAGUUGGUACUCAUGACACACAACAGGCUGUUAAGUCAGUCAAAGUUUCCAGUCUGGUGGACUUGAAUAAGCGAGAUCAACUCAUCUUCAGAAAAAACCAUGCACAUUUCAGAAAUUUAGAAGGAAAGAAAAGUUCUUAACUAGUAGAAAACAGAAUGUCCUGGAAACAAGGUUUAGCAGGAAAUCUGUUGAUUCAUUAUAUGCGCUAAAUGCAUGCAUAUACCACAUAGACAACUAGUGAACCAUAUAUAUAAAUUACCCACAGAUAAGCAUAAAACAAGAGACAGAAUGUCCUCAAGUACAACAACUUUGGUCCAAUAACAAUGAUAUAUAUGUAUACACAUACACACACACAUCAUUGUCACCAAACAAACAAAAAGUCACUUACCUAAUGAUAUUUCAUUUCCAAAUUGUUAAUAAAAUGAAGAAAGAUUGUUUCUCAGCCUCAGACAACCUAGGGAUAAAAGAUACAAGAGAGUACAGGGUACAAGGACUUGACGGGUCAAUUUAUCAAUUACCUUUGAUCUAGAAUUUAUCAUGGGAUUUUAUAGUGUCAGCUUAAAAUACAAAAGUAACGUCAUAAAGUGAUCCGGAUGAACAAAUGUAUGACUCCUAAAACAUGUCAACAAACUACACACACCAAACACGUACAGAGAGUAUCAUAUCAUAAAUACACCAAUCCUUUGAUUUAAUGCUACUUUAAAAGGUUCACACUCAAGUUUCAGAUGCUAAGAUAAUCAAAGAAGCAAUCAGCGGCAAUGGUUUCAGGUGCUCACACAGACUAAAACCCUAUUUGACCCCAAAAAGCUAUGCUUCAUCUGCUAUUUAAGGCCCAAGAUUUGACUGAAGUCGAAGCACAGAAAGUAACGUACAUAUCAGCCUGAGCCUCGUCUACUAUUUCUCAUUAAUCACACAAGUUCAAGUCCAAGCGAUGCCUGAACAGAGAGAAUGAAAGCUAUGUGAUUUGAUGAAUAUGUCCAAGAAGGUUCAGAUUUCUUUUGGAAGAGUCCAGAGUCAGACCCAGUCCAGGAUAUUGGACUUUUUAUGGGAAUGGCAUGACUGGGCGUGCAACAUGCCAAGUUCAAUUUUGGUAGAAGUUGAAUGAAAAAAGAAAAAGAUUCAUGACUUGCUCUUGUAUUCUUAUGACAAUUCUUUUAGUAAUAUUUUCUAAUCCACAAAUAUAUAACUAAUAUAACAAAUUACAGAAGAAUACCUUUAGUAAUGAAAUUUGUGUAAAUAUUCAUUCAGUGAUUUAAAUGACACAACUAGCAAAAUGACUAGAAUGAGAUCACAACCGCUGAUCGCCUUACUGGGGGAACAAUCAAUCUUGCAAAUGACUAGAAUGAUCCAGAGGCAUAUGUGCUCACAAGCAUGGAGAACAACCAAUUCUGGAUGAUGAUGACUAGCAUGGUCCAGAGGCAUAUAUGAUCACAAGCACGGAUUGCCUUACUGAGGGAAUAACCAAUUCUGGAUGAUGACUAGCAUAAUCCAGAGGCAAUAAAUUAGCAAUGAAGAUAUGUGAUCACAUGCACAUAUUGCCUUACUCGGAGAGAACCAAUUUGCACAGCAUCUAUUGGCAAAAAGAAAAGAGAUACUUGAUGUUUAGAGAGGCUGGAAGAAAGAAAAUCCCUAGAAAUACUUGAUGCUUCUUUCAAUGAGAAUGAGAGGCGUAAAGUUUGCUAGGGUAGCAGUACACUUCCCUAAGUUGAUUGUUGAAAAGAUUCUUAGUAUUCUUAAAAAAGAUGCUUCUAGUUUGCUUCAACAUUUACAACUAUAUUUAAUGCAAUUUUUCUGUUCAAUCGGAAGAAAGGACAAGCUUCAAGUCAAUUAGUAUCUUUUAUUCAUCAAAAUUUAUCUGUUGGAAAUUUUAGGUUGAGUAAUAGAAUGUGAAUCUUGCAUAAUUUGUUUCAAUAAAAAAUUGUUAACAACAGAUGAAGCUUCAGCAGCAAAUGCAUUUGGAAUGAGAAACGAAUUUCCUUGAUAUAAUAUUAAACUGGUCUUCGAAAGACCCUUGGCCACAUAUUAAGUUCCUUUGGUCCCUAUUCGUCACAAUUAACUGAAUCAAGGCAUUGGCCUAAUGGUUGACAUUCAAUUUAUUUUGAAAGAUUUUGGGUUCAAAUACUUGUAAUGGUGAUGUCGAAGAAUUUGAGCCAUAUAAUUUUACAGCUUGAGAUCCAUCUACCACUCUCCAGUAUUAAAAUGAAACACAGAAACUCAUGAGUCAAGGCCUCAGACAGACGUCACACUUAAUAUUUAGUGAGAUAAUAAAACAUUGGUCGUAUGACAUGUUGAUACUAAAAGGUUAAAGACAAAACUAUUGUUAGAAGAAUCAAUAGUUGUCAAUGUUAAAUUAAAAUAUUAAAUAAAAAUGAAUUUUAAAGAAGCAACAAAAGUAAAAGAGGCAAUCAGAGGCACAAGUGAACUGGAUAUACAUGACAAAGAAUAUGCCUAAUAGCAAAAGUUUACCUUAAUCGAAACCUUGCUCUUGACUUGCGUCUCCAAGGCAUCUGUCAUAGACUGUGAGGAGAACAAAUUCAAAGGAAAAAGAACUUAAAAGCAUGACUGCUAAAAUCUCCAAAAGAAAUUUGUCCAGGGUUUAAAUUAAAUUUACCUUAUCAAACUGCAUAAGGACUUGGAUAGCUAGCUCCGGGCUCAACGUACCGCCGGAAACCAUCUCAUCUAGGGUUUCUGUCAAGCACAUGCCAAUGGAGGACCUUCGGUACAAUUCAAAUGUGGCCAUGGCCUAUUCUAGCACUCCAAUUAGCAAAAUUUAUUUAGUAACAAAAGCUCAGGAUUUCAAAACAAAGAAAAGCAAAAAGGCAACAAUAACAACUAGAAACAAAGAAUAGGUUGGUAUAUUUUAUUUUUUCUAGCCAAUUCUAGCACUCCGAUUAGCAAAGGUUAUUUAGCAACAAAAGCUCAGGAAUUCAAAACAAAGAAAAGCAAAAAGGCAACAAUAAACAACUAGAAAUAAAGAAUAGGUUGUUAUAUUUUAUUUUUUCUAUUAAGUGGAGGCAGCAACUCUUUAACAUAUUAGAAAUUGACCUGUAGCAGAAUAUUAACAUCAUAAAUAACCAUAAUAAAAACCACUGAGACUUGACAAAAAAAGGAUGCUUUAUAUAAUAAAUGAGGGCUUCGGAAUAACUACCAGCUCAAGAAGGAAAAGUGAUAAAAGUGUAAGAAAGAGAUGGGGAAGUAGAUAUUGCACUUCCCUAUGCCAUGAAAGAGGCAUUGACAUAAUGUCAAGCAAAUGUUUAAAACAGCAACCCAAUUAGUAGACAAUGUCAAUUAGGAAAAGUUCUUCUAAAUAUAUAUUUGAUAUAGUUGAAGAAUAUUCCCAGAGCAAAGCCCGUCAUAGCAUAAUUACUUGCCGAAUCAUGUAAGAAAGAUAUGCUCUUUCAUCCAAAGAAUAAACAGAAGAACAAAACCCCUUUUACAUGGUAAAGUGGGAUGGAGAUAAAAACAUGCAUGAAACAAGUAAUAAAACCUUGGUCUUCUUGACACUAAAAACAAAAAAAAUAUGUGUUUUAUCUUCUGUUUUACAGAACAUGUUUGGCAGUCACAUCUUCAUAACAAGGACAAGCACAACCUAGAGCUUCAAUCUUUAAUCUCCUUGUGCAUACACGAAUUAUGUUUCAACAAUCGUUAAGUACACAUUAGGAAUUUGUAAAUCAAGAGGACAAGCAAAUCCAGUUAUAAAAAUUGAAGUGAUUAAUAAAGAUCUAUGAUGGACAUUUUACAAUGCAGACACCUGCAAUUUUGAGCUUCUAAUGACAAUUAGAUAACAGAUCAUCGUAUACAUAAUGUCAUAAAACCAUACCAGUUCUAAAAAUGUAACCACACCUAAGUUUAGACAUCACAGAGCAUAUACAACCAUAGGGUUUACUGAAUAUGAAUAGGUGAAAAUACUUAGUUUGAAGUGGCACUUACUCCAUCAUGAUUACAAGCAUCACGAUCAAAAAUAUGUAAAGAAAGCUAGAUAAUAUAAAAUCUUCAUCCUUCAAUAUACCAUGUGCUUCGUCCUCUAAAAACCACUCACAAGCCUCCAGUCAUCACAUGUCAAAAUAGUAACCAAAUAAUGGCAAACCAAUCAGAGACUUGAAUAUAAUAAGGAUCGCGUUUUUUGCGAAUGAAGUAUCACAUGCCAUGAUCUCGCAGCAAAGACUAACUCUAUCGAGUCUAAAAAGAAACCGUAAUUAACAUUCAAGUAGUCGAACAACACAAAGAACCACAAAUCAAACGCUACAACCGAGACAUCUUCCCAAACCCAUCAAAUCAAAGCAUAGUUGGCUUUUUUUGGGUCAUCCAGAUCGAACUAACGCC
rnacentral:lncRNA from 1 species